rnacentral:lncRNA from 1 species
CCAACGUCGUUUAAAUUUUACUGACGUGGAAGCAUUGGUCAAUCGCACGCCGCCAUGUGUCGCAAUCUGGAAACCCCAUUUGACCCAUUUUUUUAUUCUGCUGAAUAUUUUUUCCUUUAAAGUUAUAUUUCAUUAAUUUUCCAUCAUUUUUCACCAUUUUCUUCAACAUUUCUUUUUCUUUUAUUUUCUCUUUGUAUCGUCUACUCUGCCAUUUUCUUUUCUUUUCUUUUUUCAACAAAUUUCAACAUCUUGCAUCUUGCAUCUCUCUUUUUUUCCAGCUUUGGUCAUCUCUUAAAUUUUCCCCUCUUUCUUUUCUCUUUUUUUCUUUCCUCUUCUUCAUUUUCCAUUUCCUUCAAGUCUUCACCAUGUCUUCUUCUGCGAACAGAAAAUCAAGUGCAUAGAAAAGUAUUGUGUACUGCCAAUGCAGUUUAAGGGCA